AGAACGAACGCUGGCGGCAGGCUUAACACAUGCAAGUCGAACGGUUGUAGCAAUACAGCAGUGGCAGACGGGUGAGUAACACGUGGGAACCUUCCUAGGGGUACGGAACAACUCAGGGAAACUUGAGCUAAUACCGUAUACGUCCGUGAGGAGAAAGAUUUAUCGCCCCUAGACGGGCCCGCGUAGGAUUAGGUAGUUGGUGAGGUAACGGCUCACCAAGCCUACGAUCCUUAGCUGAUCUGAGAGGAUGAUCAGCCACACUGGGACUGAGACACGGCCCAGACUCCUACGGGAGGCAGCAGUGGGGAAUCUUGGACAAUGGGCGCAAGCCUGAUCCAGCCAUGCCGCGUGAGUGAAGAAGGCCCUUCGGGUUGUAAAGUCUACGUUUUACCAGGGACGAUAAUGACGGUACCUGGAGAAGUAACGCCCCGCAAACUCGACGCCAGCAGCCGC
rnacentral:rRNA from 1 species